AGGACAUCCAUCUGUGAUCUGUCCAAUUUUGACAUCAGCACCCGGCAGUUUUCUUGCGUUUAUCUGUGUAUGACUAUUAUAUACAAGGGCUAAUUGGAGACCUAUUUCUUCUUCAUUUGUCCAGGUCUGCAGUUGAAUUACAUGACAAUAAAAUAAAAAAUGUGGAAAAGUCAAUGUCAAGUAGAUUUCAUGAUAAAUUUAAAUCUGUUGUCAGAUUUAUCAUCACUUCACUCGAUCAAUCAGUACAUUUGGCAAAGAAUUUAGAAUACGACUAGUUUUCUAUGUUUUGGGUGUAUUAG
rnacentral:lncRNA from 1 species